UACGGAGGGGGCAAGCGUUAAUCGGAUUUACUGGGCGUAAAGCGCGCGUAGGCGGCUAUUUAAGUCAAAUGUGAAAUCCCCGAGCUUAACUUGGGAAUUGCAUUCGAUACUGGUUAGCUAGAGUGUGGGAGAGGAUGGUAGAAUUCCAGGUGUAGCGGUGAAAUGCGUAGAGAUCUGGAGGAAUACCGGUGGCGAAGGCAGCCCUCUGGCAUGACACUGACGCUGAGGCGCGAAAGCAUGGGGAGCAAACAGG
rnacentral:rRNA from 1 species